AUCUGUACCCAAUUUUGCAUAGCCCAUGCAUGAAGCCUACAAAGGCCCAACAUAUAUUUUAGGCUCAUUGGCGCAAAAAAUCUGAUUCUAAAAAAACAAUUUCUUUUCUGUGUCUAAAAGAACAAUUUCUUUUCUAAGUAAAACAUCCCGUAGCCCCAGGUCCCAGAGUCAAAAGAAAAAACACACUCUCCUCUGCUCCUGUACGAUUCCCCACCCGGCUCCUCAUCCACUUCCGCCAUUUCCUCCGAUUUGCCGCCGGCGAAGGUGGUGGCGCUGGCGCAUGUGGCUGGGUGAGUACGUGGAUCUCGGCGAGGUCGUCGAGUCUGGCGACGCGGCCAUGGAUAUGGCCAAGGAGAGCGUGGGCUACACUGCUCAAAAAUUUAUUGGUCGGAGGCUUUGGAUGAUGGUGGCACAGAGGUAGUGAGGGAUCUCACGGAGUAGGGAACAGUAGCAAGACGUGAGCAGCUUCUGCUGGCGGAUGUUAGUUGUUGCCCUCCUGCUAUGCGACCUGCUACCAAACGUAGGUGUUACUGCAACCAUACAAGUUUUUGUGUAGGGGAAUGAUCUAGAAAUCUGAAUAAGUUUUUAUCAUUCCAUUGCUAAACAAUACUCAUACCACAACUUUCUGUGUGGAGAAGUGCUCGUAUACUUGCCCUCUGAAUUUUGCAAUAGAGAACAUAGUAAAGCAAACAUAUUAAAUUA